AUCCAGCUGAUCAGUCCCAAAUAGGAUGAAACGUGCGUCUUGGAU
rnacentral:hammerhead_ribozyme from 1 species